rnacentral:rRNA from 1 species
AGCGCAGACGGAAGGCCAAGUCAGGUGUGAAAGGCAUGGGCUCAACUCAUGGACUGCACUUGAAACUGGUCAUCUCGAGUAUCGGAGGGGCAGGCGGAAUUCCUGGUGUAGCGGUGAAAUGCGUAGAUAUCAGGAAGAACACCGGUGGCGAAGGCGGCCUGCUGGACGAUAACUGACGUUGAGGCUCGAAAGCGUGGGGAGCAAACAG